rnacentral:rRNA from 1 species
AUGGUCAUGAUCAUGGUCGUGGUCGCGGUAGCAGACGUUCAGGUCUUCACGGCGCCACUGCUCUCCUUCUGCGUCUCCACCAAGUUCAGAGAUGGUGCAAUGGCGGUGAACCUGCCACUAGCCUUUAGAAACACCAUGAUGGCCACGGUCACCCCUUCGCUGCCCGCCGGCAUGUUCGCCAUCGUAGGCAUCACCUUCCCAUCCAGCCCGCUCUCGCCGACGGUCUCUCCCAUGACCCGCUCCACAACUACCCGAUUCUUGCUUCCAUGA